CCUCCCCUCCCCUCCCCUUUCCUCUCUCCUCUCUCUUCUCCAUCUCCUGCUCUCCACACAAAAUCUUCCCCUAGGCUCUGUAUAGUCAGAAUUCCCACAUCCCUUUCUUGUUCCACGAAGCCUGGCUUUGCAGCACACACUUGGCCUUGGAGACACUGUGGCACUUCCAGUUCCCUGGAUUGUUCUUCUCUCUGCCCUGGGAGUGGCUCUCACGGCCCCAACAGAGACAAAGCAGGGGCCCAACGACUCAAGCCACAGGCCACGGCCACGGGAUGAAGCAUUCCUGUUGUGUGAGGUAGAAGUGAUGUCAGGCUGCCGCCCAAACAAUGGAAUCCCAAGUUCAGAAGAAGAGGAUGCUGUCCCUGGCGCCUGUUGCGUGGGCUGCGGAAGGCUGACCCCGGGUGUAGUCUCUCCAGAGCCUCUGCCAGGUCUGUGAGUUCCGUGAGUUCCAGCGCGUGCAUGCUGGUCUGAGCCAGAGCUCAGAAAGGCGAGCUUUCCCUUCCGGUUUCCGAUCCUCCAUCCUCGCCGAUGCUCAUCGACACCAGAAGACUCUGUGUCCUGACAAGAUGUUUAGGAAUGCCAAGGUGCCUGAGAAUGGAUUCAAGAUGUCCCUGCUCAGACAAACAGCACAAGAAUCCGACGAACGAUUCCCCGGUGACCCUGACUCUUUACUGAAGAAGACCAUGGUGGAAAAACGGUUCCACCCCUGCUCAUGUGCCCCUGAAGACCAAAUCUCUCGCUUGGAGUUUACUGAUGGUGGGAAGAAUUUUUCUCAGGUGAUGUCCGGCUCUAACCUGUUCAAGCAUUGUGACCCCCACCACAGCCUACCUGGCUGGGUCUGAAGGGCAUGCUGAUGCCAAGGGCAUGCAUGGUCCUACACCUCAGUGGCACUGCGCUCAAGAGGGGAGUAGCCCUGAAGCCGCUCCUCACCACCAUAGGCAGCCACGACAGACCUGUUACGUGCAAGUGACUGUGACCACAUUAAUGCAUCUUGUGACCCCAAAUGAGAGGACAGCUGUGCUAAUUGGGUCCCAAACUAUAACAGUUUCCCAAGAGGAUGGGAUCUGAAACAGCCAAGGAGAAGAUGAUGUUUACUAAAACCUAAUCAUACAAACUCAUCACUAAUACCUUGUCCCCCUCUAGGUGGGCAGGAACCUGAGUGUGUGAGUGGCCUGAGCUCAAGGCCAUUGGCUGCUUAGGAAAGUCACUGCAGAGCCCACAGCUAGGCUUCUCCCUGCCCCUCCCUGGUGGGCAUGCUCCAUGGCUCCCCACUGCCUUCAGGUAAAGGCUGACCCUGGGGGCUUCAGCUGUCACUGGGGGCUCCCUUAGCUCCCCAGUGUGCUGAACUGUUUGUGGAAGAGCAAAGCUAUAGGCAACAGGCAAACUUCAGGUGCAGCAGGGAUGAUAAAUAGACCUGGAACCCAUCCAUUGUUCUUACAGGCUCAGGGCAUUGCUAAUAUAUUCGAGGCGGUCCUGGGUGUUCACCAGAGUGAUGGGGCCUGUUUGGGGGUGGGGGGCAGUGCCCUGAUGCCAAGAUGUCCCCUGUUGAGUCCAGUGGAGGUGUCAGGGUCAAGUCUCUUCUCCUAAGAAAGUCUUUCUUAGAGACUUCCUGUGGGGUGGGGGUAGGAGGUGGUGAGGGAGGUUGGGAACGCUGAAAAGGACUUCCAAUUUUAACCUCCUACACCUGAGCUGAAGGUCCUUCCCUGUCCACUGCUGGCUUUAUGGCCCUGGGUGAAUGCCUUAAUCUCUUCAGCAUCUGGUGUCCUCAUCUCUAAAUCAGAGAAAACAUAUCUUGCCUCCGUGCUUUGAGAGGCAUGAAUAAAACAGAUGCUAAGAGGAAGCUGACAAGGGGCCUCCAUGCCCUGUAGAGGGGGCCCAUGAGUGACUUCUGCUUUCCAUACCAUCCCCCACCCCCUUCAGAUGCUUCCAUUCCUGCAGUCAGAGGCAGUGUCCUAUGGCCAGUGUUCCCACCACAUCUCCACAGAGAAGGUGCCAGGCAAUGUCCCUGAUCAGGAUCCCACUCACAAGAGCAACUGGCGCAGGUCAUACUUACCAAGGUUGUCUCGUUGGGGGAGAGGAUUUGCAUGGGACAGUCAGGAGUGCUCUGUGCAGGCCUACACAGCCCACCUGGCCCUUCCUGCCCACUUCAUUAGCAUUCUGAACAGCAUCCAAAGGCUGGCUGUUUUCUUCUCCUUUGAACUUCAAGAUGCUCACAUCCUCUGGGGUACACACCUCAGCACCCUACUCCACUGGCUCUGAGGAGGGGGUACAGGGCCAAAGACCCCAGGUGGUAAAAGCACAGCUCUAGAGCAAGCAGCACUU